rnacentral:rRNA from 1 species
CAGUCGCCGCGGUAAUACGUAGGGUGCGAGCGUUAAUCGGAAUUACUGGGCGUAAAGCGUGCGCAGGCGGUUGUGUAAGACGGGUGUGAAAUCCCCGGGCUUAACCUGGGAACUGCGCUUGUGACUGCACAGCUAGAGUAUGGCAGAGGGGGGUGGAAUUCCACGUGUAGCAGUGAAAUGCGUAGAGAUGUGGAGGAACACCGAUGGCGAAGGCAGCCCCCUGGGCCAAUACUGACGCUCAUGCACGAAAGCGUGGGGAGCAAACAGGAUUAGAUACCCCGGUAGUCCCUGUCUCUUAUAC